rnacentral:lncRNA from 1 species
ACUGCAAAGAAAGUAAAAAAAAUAAUUUUUACAAUAUUAAUAAUUGCAGUAAAAUAAAUUAGGAAAAAAAAAAAAAAGACAAGAUCUAUUUAUCUAUUCCAGAGAACAACGAGGUAUGAGCCUCCUUUUUUUUUUUUUUUUUUUUUUCCUGCUGUAUUUCCAAGGUCAAACAAAGCCCUUGGCUGCACAAGGUAACAACUAUGAGCACACACCUAGAAGGCAGCUCUAUGGCAACACAGCACCUGUGGGCAGGAAUUCUUGUCACAAUCAUCUCAGUCACUGAAACUGCUGGAGUCCAAGAUUUGCAGCAAGCAAAGUGGAGUGGCUGGUGUGCCAGGCUCAGCCUCUGUUCAGCGCCACUUGACUCACAAAGAAUGAAGGCCUGGGAGGAAAACUCCAGGUUUGGCACAUGGCAGUUAAUAGCAUCUUGAUCUGGUUUCCCUUUCACCUUAAGGUAUCUGCAACUCUGAAUUGUGAGUAUUUAACAAAAGAUACUUAGCAAGGAAUCAAACCCACUACAUUUUGCAGCUCUAGCUAAAGGGGAAA